rnacentral:tRNA from 2 species
GUCCCGGUAGCUCAGUUGGAUAGAGCGGCCGCCUCCUAAGCGGCAGGUCACAGGUUCGAAUCCUGUUCGGGACACCA